rnacentral:rRNA from 1 species
UGGCUCAGAACGAACGCUGGCGGCAUGCCUAACACAUGCAAGUCGAACGAGACCUUCGGGUCUAGUGGCGCACGGGUGCGUAACGCGUGGGAAUCUGCCCUUAGGUUCGGAAUAACUCAGGGAAACUUGAGCUAAUACCGGAUGAUGACUUCGGUCCAAAGAUUUAUCGCCUAGGGAUGAGCCCGCGUCGGAUUAGCUAGUUGGUGAGGUAAAGGCUCACCAAGGCGGGGAACCGUAGCUGGUCUGAGAGGAUGAUCAGCCACACUGGGAUUGUCCCCUCGGCCCAGGAACCUACGGG